GCCGGGUGUGGUGGUGUGUGCCUACAGUCCCAGCUACUCGGGAGGCUGAGGUAAGAAGACCGCCGAGCCCGGGAAUUCUGGGCUGUAGUGCGCUAUACCAACCAGGUAUCUGCACUAAUUUUGGCAGCAACAUGGUGACCCUCUAGGAGUGGGGAACCAUCAGCUUGCUAAGGUGGGGUGAACCGACCCAAGUUGGAAAGGGAUCAGGACAAAACUUCCAUGCCAAUCAGUAGCGGGACUGUGCCUAUGAAUACCCACUGCACUGCAGCCUGGCAGCAUGAUAAGACCCCAUCUCUA
ensembl:misc_RNA Metazoa_SRP Metazoan signal recognition particle RNA